GAUGAAGAACGUAGCGAAAUGCGAUAAGUAGUGUGAAUUGCAGAAUUCAGUGAAUCAUCGAAUCUUUGAACGCACAUUGCGCCCCCUGGUAUUCCGGGGGGCAUGCCUGUCCGAGCGUCAUUGCUGCCCUCAAGCACGGCUUGUGUGUUGGGCCCCGCCCCCCGGCUCCCGGGGGGCGGGCCCGAAAGGCAGCGGCGGCACCGCGUCCGGUCCUCGAGCGUAUGGGGCUUCGUCACCCGCUCCGUAGGCCCGGCCGGCGCCCGCCGGCGACCCCCCUCAAUCUUUUCAGGUUGACCUCGGAUCAGGUAGGGAUACCCGCUGAACUUAAGCAUAUCAAUAAGCGGAGGA
rnacentral:misc_RNA from 1 species